AUGAACGCUAGCUACAGGCUUAACACAUGCAAGUCGAGGGGCAGCAUGGUCUUAGCUUGCUAAGGCCGAUGGCGACCGGCGCACGGGUGAGUAACACGUAUCCAACCUGCCGUCUACUCUUGGACAGCCUUCUGAAAGGAAGAUUAAUACAAGAUGGCAUCAUGAGUCCACAUGUUCACAUGAUUAAAGGUAUUCCGGUAGAUGAUGGGGAUGCGUUCCAUUAGAUAGUAGGCGGGGUAACGGCCCACCUAGUCUUCGAUGGAUAGGGGUUCUGAGAGGAAGGUCCCCCACAUUGGAACUGAGACACGGUCCAAACUCCUACGGGAGGCAGCAGUGAGGAAUAUUGGUCAAUGGGCGAGAGCCUGAACCAGCCAAGUAGCGUGAAGGAUGACUGCCCUAUGGGUUGUAAACUUCUUUUAUAAAGGAAUAAAGUCGGGUAUGGAUACCCGUUUGCAUGUACUUUAUGAAUAAGGAUCGGCUAACUCCGUGCCAGCAGCCGCGGUAAUACGGAGGAUCCGAGCGUUAUCCGGAUUUAUUGGGUUUAAAGGGAGCGUAGAUGGAUGUUUAAGUCAGUUGUGAAAGUUUGCGGCUCAACCGUAAAAUUGCAGUUGAUACUGGAUAUCUUGAGUGCAGUUGAGGCAGGCGGAAUUCGUGGUGUAGCGGUGAAAUGCUUAGAUAUCACGAAGAACUCCGAUUGCGAAGGCAGCCUGCUAAGCUGCAACUGACAUUGAGGCUCGAAAGUGUGGGUAUCAAACAGGAUUAGAUACCCUGGUAGUCCACACGGUAAACGAUGAAUACUCGCUGUUUGCGAUAUACUGCAAGCGGCCAAGCGAAAGCGUUAAGUAUUCCACCUGGGGAGUACGCCGGCAACGGUGAAACUCAAAGGAAUUGACGGGGGCCCGCACAAGCGGAGGAACAUGUGGUUUAAUUCGAUGAUACGCGAGGAACCUUACCCGGGCUUAAAUUGCAGAUGAAUUACGGUGAAAGCCGUAAGCCGCAAGGCAUCUGUGAAGGUGCUGCAUGGUUGUCGUCAGCUCGUGCCGUGAGGUGUCGGCUUAAGUGCCAUAACGAGCGCAACCCUUGUUGUCAGUUACUAACAGGUUCCGCUGAGGACUCUGACAAGACUGCCAUCGUAAGAUGUGAGGAAGGUGGGGAUGACGUCAAAUCAGCACGGCCCUUACGUCCGGGGCUACACACGUGUUACAAUGGGGGGUACAGAGGGCCGCUACCACGCGAGUGGAUGCCAAUCCCCAAAACCUCUCUCAGUUCGGACUGGAGUCUGCAACCCGACUCCACGAAGCUGGAUUCGCUAGUAAUCGCGCAUCAGCCACGGCGCGGUGAAUACGUUCCCGGGCCU
rnacentral:rRNA from 1 species